rnacentral:rRNA from 1 species
GGGUUAGUAGGUUGGUCAUGCCUCAGGUAUGUACUGGUCUCACUGAUUCCUCCUUCCUGAUGAGCCGUAAUGCCAUUAAUUUGGUGUUGCGGGGAAUCUGGACUGUUACUUUGAAAAAAUUAGAGUGUUCAAAGCAGGCCUAUGCUCGAAUACAUUAGCAUGGAAUAAUAGAAUAGGACG